AGAGUUAAAUAGUACGUGAAAUUGUUGAAAGGGAAACGAUUGAAGCCAGUCGUACCGACGGAGAAUCAACCUCUAGAGUGUGGGAUGCGGGUAUUCGAGGAGUUUAAAAGCCUUCGUGUGUUCGUAAUUUCGUGCUUCUGAGGUGCACUUCUUCGUAUUGGUAGGUUAACAUCAAUUUUGGACGUUACAAAAUGACCGGGGGAAUGUGGCUUCGAUUUUUCGAAGUGUUAUAGCCCUUGGUAGAUGUGACGACCGGGAUUGAGGAUUGCAACGAAUGCCUUCGGGCUAUCCGUCUGGCCUCUGGUGGUUGCUUUGGGGUCGAAAGCUUGCUUACGGCUUCAAAGUUGGCUGUCAAAAGGUUAGAACGCGAUUAAAUUCGUUAAGGAUGUUGACGUAAUGGCUUUAAACGACC
rnacentral:rRNA from 1 species